UACGUAGGGUGCGAGCGUUAAUCGGAAUUACUGGCGUAAAGCGUGCGCAGGCGGUUCUCCAAGUCCGUUGUGAAAGCCCCGGGCCUCAACCUGGGAAUGGCAGUGGAAACUAGGGGACUUGAAUCUGGCAGAGGGGGGUGGAAUUCCACGGUGUAGCAGUGAAAUGCGUAGAGAUGUGGAGGAACACCGAUGGCGAAGGCAGCCCCCUGGGCUGAGAUUGACGCUCAGGCACGAAAGCGUGGGGAGCAAACAGG
rnacentral:rRNA from 1 species